AUGGUCCCAAUUUUCCUUUUAGUUUUCCACACUCGAGGAUACCUUGGUCGUGGACCUUUAGCUUCGCACACCUGAGGAACAUCAAAAUUAUGACUAAAUCAACUGCAAGAAAAGAGGAAAAUAGAAAAGAGCUGUAUGCAGCUAAAGGAGAAAAAGGAAGACAAGGCAAACAGGUGACUUCAACUGCAAGAAGAGAGGAAAAUAGAAAAGAGCUGCAUGCAGCUAAAGGAGAAAAAGGAAGACAAGGAAAACAAUACUGAAUCACCGAAAUCCAAAUUGAGCAUAUUUCUAUUAGACAUCCAUGUAGGCGACCAACGAUUCCUCCUAAAGGGAAAUUGAAGUUCUUUACAGUCGCCAUAGAGUUCCUCUGAUCUUGCACAAUUUUUUUCUUUUUCUAAUAGUUUCUCUGAACAAUAAAGGUACUAAUCAAAUCAAAAGUAUAACAAAAAUCUUUAAGAAACUACAUGAACAGAUACCCUUUCUCUAAUUACUUUCAAACAAAAUGGUACUAAC
rnacentral:lncRNA from 1 species